rnacentral:rRNA from 1 species
GACGAACGCUGGCGGCGUGCCUAACACAUGCAAGUCGAACGGAAGUAAGAGCUUCGGUUUUUGCUUUAGUGGCGAACGGGUGAGUAACGCGCGAGCAACCUGCCCUUGUGUGGGGGAUACCGUCUGGAAACGGACGUUAAUACCGCAUAACGUAUGGGAACCGCAUGGUGCCCAUACCAAAGAUUUAUUGCGCAAGGAUGGGCUCGCGUCCCAUUAGAUAGUUGGUGAGGUAACGGCCCACCAAGUCAGCGAUGGGUAGCCGGACUGAGAGGUUGAACGGCCACAUUGGAACUGAGAUACGGUCCAG